ensembl:snRNA U6 U6 spliceosomal RNA
CAAAUACUAAAACUGGAAGGAUACAGAGAAGAUUAGCAUGACCCCUGCACAAGGAUGACAUGCAAAUUUGCAAAGCAUUUCAUAAAUUU